AUUGAACGCUGGCGGCAUGCCUUACACAUGCAAGUCGAACGGCAGCGGGGACUUCGGUCCGCCGGCGAGUGGCGAACGGGUGAGUAAUGUAUCGGAACGUACCUUUCAGUGGGGGAUAACGUAGCGAAAGUUACGCUAAUACCGCAUAUUCUCUGAGGAGGAAAGCAGGGGACCUUCGGGCCUUGCGCUGAUGGAGCGGCCGAUAUCAGAUUAGCUAGUUGGUGGGGUAAAGGCUCACCAAGGCUACGAUCUGUAGCGGGUCUGAGAGGAUGAUCCGCCACACUGGGACUGAGACACGGCCCAGACUCCUACGGGAGGCAGCAGUGGGGAAUUUUGGACAAUGGGCGAAAGCCUGAUCCAGCCAUGCCGCGUGAGUGAAGAAGGCCUUCGGGUUGUAAAGCUCUUUCGGACGGGAAGAAAUCAUGAGGGCUAUAUCCCUUGUGGAUGACGGUACCGUAAUAAGAAGCACCGGCUAACUACGUGCCAGCCGCCGCUGUAA
rnacentral:rRNA from 1 species